rnacentral:rRNA from 1 species
CAGCAGCCGCGGUAAAACGUAGGGCGCAAGCGUUGUCCGGAAUUAUUGGGCGUAAAGAGCUCGUAGGCGGUCUGUCGCGUCUGGUGUGAAAUCCCGAGGCUCAACCUCGGGCUUGCAUCGGGUACGGGCAGACUAGAGUGCGGUAGGGGAGACUGGAAUUCCUGGUGUAGCGGUGGAAUGCGCAGAUAUCAGGAGGAACACCGAUGGCGAAGGCAGGUCUCUGGGCCGCAACUGACGCUGAGGAGCGAAAGCAUGGGGAGCGAACAGGAUUAGAUACCCGUGUAGUCCCUGUCUCUUAUCA